UAUCCUAGUAGAGCAAGGGCAUCGGCAUA
rnacentral:sRNA from 1 species